GAUGAACGCUAGCGAUAGGCUUAACACAUGCAAGUCGAGGGGCAGCAUGGUCUUAGCUUGCUAAGACUGAUGGCGACCGGCGCACGGGUGCGUAACGCGUAUGCAACUUGCCUCACAGAGGGGGAUAACCCGUCGAAAGACGGACUAAUACCGCGUACACUCCAUCUUGGGCAUCCAAGGUAGAGGAAAUGAAAUUCGCUGUGAGAUAGGCAUGCGUCCCAUUAGCUAGUUGGUGAGGUAACGGCUCACCAAGGCGACGAUGGGUAGGGGAACUGAGAGGUUGAACCCCCACACUGGUACUGAGACACGGACCAGACUCCUACGGGAGGCAGCAGUGAGGAAUAUUGGUCAAUGGGCGAGAGCCUGAACCAGCCAAGUCGCGUGAAGGAUGACUGUCUUAUGGAUUGUAAACUUCUUUUAUACGGGAAUAACAAGAGUCACGUGUGACUCCCUGCAUGUACCGUAUGAAUAAGCAUCGGCUAACUCCGUGCCAGCAGCCGCGGUAAUACGGAGGAUGCGAGCGUUAUCCGGAUUUAUUGGGUUUAAAGGGUGCGUAGGCGGCCUGUUAAGUCAGCGGUGAAAUCUAGGAGCUUAACUCCUAAAUUGCCAUUGAUACUGGCGGGCUUGAGUGUAGAUGAGGUAGGCGGGAUGCGUGGUGUAGCGGUGGAAUGCAUAGAUAUCACGCAGAACUCCGAUUGCGAAGGCAGCUUACUAAGGUACAACUGACGCUGAAGCACGAAAGCGUGGGUAUCAAACAGG
rnacentral:rRNA from 1 species